CCCCGGACCGGGUUCUGAGACACUAACCCGGGCCCUACGGGGCGCAGCAGGUGCGAAACCUCCACAAUGUACGAAAGUGCGAUGGGGGAAUCCUAAGUGCUGGCGCAAUGCGUCAGCUUUUCUCGAGUCUAAAUCGCUUGAGGAAUAAGUGGUGGGUAAGACCGCUGCCAGCCGCCGCGGUAAUAGCGGCGCCACAAGUGGCAUCCAUUUAUAUUGGGUUUAAAGCAUCCGUAGCCGGCCUGAUAAGUCUACUGUGAAAUCCUAUAGAAAACUAUAGGGCGUGCGGUAGAAACUAUUACGGCUUGGGACCAGGAGAGGUCAGAGGUACUCCUAGGGUAGCGGUAAAAUGCUGUAAUCCUAGGGGGACCACCUGUGGCGAAGGCGUCUGACUGGAAUGGAUCCGACGGUGAGGGAUGAAAGCUAGGGGAGCGACCCGGAUUAGAUACCCGGUUAGUCCUAGCUGUAAACGAUGCUCACUUGGUAUUGGAAAUCUUUCGUGGAUUUCCAGUGCCGAAGGGAAACCGUUAAGUGAGCCACCUGGGGAGUACGGUCGCAAGGCUGAAACUUAAAGGAANUUGGGCGGGGGAGC
rnacentral:rRNA from 1 species